rnacentral:rRNA from 1 species
GAUGAACGCUGGCGGCGUGCCUAAUACAUGCAAGUCGAGCGAACGGACGAGAAGCUUGCUUCUCUGAUGUUAGCGGCGGACGGGUGAGUAACACGUGGAUAACCUACCUAUAAGACUGGGAUAACUUCGGGAAACCGUAGCUAAUACCGGAUAAUAUUUUGAACCGCAUGGUUCAAAAGUGAAAGACGGUCUUGCUGUCACUUAUAGAUGGAUCCGCGCUGCAUUAGCUAGUUGGUAAGGUAACGGCUUACCAAGGCAACGAUGCAUAGCCGACCUGAGAGGGUGAUCGGCCACACUGGAACUGAGACACGGUCCAGACUCCUACGGGAGGCAGCAGUAGGGAAUCGUCCGCAAUGGGCGAAAGCCUGACGGAGCAACGCCGCGUGAGUGAUGAAGGUCUUCGGAUCGUAAAACUCUGUUAUUAGGGAAGAACAUAUGUGUAAGGAACUGUGCACAUCUUGACGGUACCUAAUCAGAAAGCCACGGCUAACUACGUG